rnacentral:rRNA from 1 species
UACGAAGGGUGCAAGCGUUACUCGGAAUUACUGGGCGUAAAGCGUGCGUCGGUGGUUUGUUAAGUCUGUUGUGAAAGCCCCGGGCUCAACCUGGGAAUGGCAAUGGAUACUGGCAAGCUAGAGUGCGGUAGAGGGUAGUGGAAUUCCCGGUGUAGCGGUGAAAUGCGCAGAUAUCAGGAGGAACACCAAUGGCGAAGGCAGCUCGCUGGGACGGUACUGACGCUGAGACGCGAAAGCGUGGGGAGCAAACAGG